rnacentral:lncRNA from 1 species
UUAAAAUGUAAACCAGAUGCUCCGCAGGGCGUAGCUUUAUACGACCGCAGAGGUUGAACCCUGAACGGUUGGGGCAAGUAUGGACACAACAUUCAAGCUGGAUUCAGCUCUAAAUUUGGAUAGUGAUUAAAUAGUUGACACAGCAUAGGUUUCUGACACAGAAUGAAUGUGUUCUAAUGAACUUAAAAAUUUUGUUUUCUCUUAGAGCAAUUCACUAUGCUGUUGAAUAUUAAUCCUCUCAAAAAAAUGUUUGAAGAAAUUUUCUUUUUUAUUUAUGAAAUUUCAAAUGAGAAAAAUUGAACCCAAUUUUUUUAAUCACAUCCCCCUUUCCCUUAUUCCAAAACUAAUCUCAAUUAAAAUUUCUAAUGGAGUUUGCAACAAUAACUACUCAUUUAAAUACAUCAUAAAAUAUUAAGAUGUAAAAAAACUG